GUUUCUUGUUGAGCUCCUGGGGACUUUCCUGGUGCAGGGAUUGACUUGCACUUUAUCUGAGCCCUGGCAGCCAUGCAGGUUGGCAAAGAAGAUCUGGGCCAGUCCUGAGCUCCUGCAGGGGAUCUCCUGGUGGUGGGAUAGAUCCAGGGCUAUCCUGUUCAAUGGGCUCCCAUGCAUGUCAGCAAGGCAGAUCUUGGAGGAGCAAGAGCUCCUGCGGUGUUCUGCAGGUGGUGGGAUAACCCUGGGCCUACCCUGAACUCUUGCUCCUGCACAGGUCGUUGAGGAGGACCUGAGCUGUGUAUGAGCUCCAGAACAUGUCUUCCUAGAGGCGAUCCUGGGUGGAUGCUAAGCUCCAGCCAGUGUAUCCUGUUGGCGGGAUGAACUUGGGCCUAACCUGUGCUGAGGCUCCCUUGCAAAUCUGCAUGGUCAAUCUGGGCAGAGACUGAGCUCCUGCUGGGGUCUGCAGGUAGCGUGAAAGACCAGGGCUUACCCUGUGCUCCUCCUCCCGUUCAGGUCAUAGAAGCUGAUUUAGGCCAGUACUGAGCCCCAGCACGUGUCUUUCGGUGGCCAGAGGAGAUCCUGGGCCAUGCCUGAGUUCUGGAGAGAGUUCCAGUGGGCGAAGGCAUUUCUGAGCUCCAGCAUGGUUGGCUGGUGGGUGCAGGUUGUCCAGGCCAAACCUGAGCUCUGGUGGAGGUCUCACAGAGGUUUUAUGGACCCGGGCUACCCUGUCCCCUGGAUCUUGGGCAUGUUGGCAAUGUAGAUCUAGGCAGAACCUGAGAUCCAGCAGGGGUCAUUUGGUGGAGGAAUGGAUCCUGUGUUACCUUGGGCACCAUCUCCUGUGCAGGUCGGCAAGG
rnacentral:lncRNA from 1 species